UCAUUUAUACUAUAACACUUCACUUUGUGGGGAGUACUGCAUUAAUGGAAGCUCAAUCUGAGGAUUUACUUUCAUAUUUAAGAUGUCCAAUUUUAUGACAAUAUAAAUGGUGUAAGGAUGUAUCUUUUUCUAGACUCUUAACCCGAGAAGAUAGUCAUCUUGAUCACUGGAAAAAAAAUUUAUUUCAGGUCUACCAUAUUUAUUUGCCAAAAAAGUUAAAAUCAGAUUAAAGAAUAAUCGUGGUGGAACUAUACAAUAUUCUAAUUAUACUUUAGGAGAAUUAUCAGCAGAAAUAUGUGUUGAAGGAUUAGCCCUUUGCACAGAUAUAAAAUUAAAGAAACAGUUAGAUAAAUAGAAUAUGACAAGUAAAAAAGAAUUAGGUGAUUUUUGUCAACAAUUUGGUUAUAGCAUAGACCAAAGUAUGGACAAAACUCAUAAACAUAAACAUAAAAAAUAGAGACCUGAUAAGAAAGAAAGAAAAUUAUAUAAAAGAAAGACAAGAGAAAAAUAUAUAAAUAAAUUCUUGCUCAAAGAUCAUUAUAGAAAAGGCAAAAAGAAGAUACCCAUUUGUUAUAAAUGCGGAAGAGUAGGUUAUUAUAAAAAUACAUGUAAGGCUAGAAAAAAAAUUAAAUGCAAUCAUAUUAGAUAAAAACAUAAGAAAUCAAAUAUAUGAUAUUAUCCAAUUAGAUAAAGAAGAAUCUACUUCAAGUUCAGAAAAUGAUAGUAGUAAUGAUAUUUCUCUUAUAGAACAAAUAGAAGAUGAAAAUAUUAUAAUUUCAAGCUCUUCUGAUAUAGAAUGUUCUUGUAGUAUGCCAUCUUGUAAUAUGUUAUCAAAAGAAGAUUCAUUAAUCUUAGAUAUCAUAGAUAAGAUAAAUAACCCUGAUGAGAAAAGAGAAAUCUUAACUCAGUUUAUUAAUCUUGCAAAAUCUAAACCUAAAUCUACUUCUUUACUCAAACCCUCAGAUGAAUAUAAUUUUGCUGAUAUAAUGAAAAGAAUUAAUCAAAAAAAUAUAUACAAAAAGAAUCUACUAUAGCUGAACUAAAACAAGAAGUCAAUGAAGUAAAAAUAGAAAUAAAUCAUCUCAAAAAUAGAAUUAAAGUAUUGGAAUUACAGAAUGAGGUUAAUGGAAAAAUAACUGAUUCAGAUGAAAUUGAAUUCACCCAAUUAGUAGAUACNNNNNNNNNNNNNNNNNNNNGGCAUUAUUUGGGAUAGAGCCCCAAAUUGUGAACCAAUUUAAUAACCAAUUGGGAACAUGUUAGGUUACCACCAUUUUGAAUUGGAGGAACCAUGUGUGGGAAUUAUAUUGGUUUUGGAUAGUAAGUAUACGAUGCCAUACAUCAAUAUAAUCAGAGUAUCUAUAAUGCUUAUUUGGGAAAUCUGGUGAUUGUAAUUUUAUGGAGCGUGAAGGGUCUGAACCCCAUUCACUGAAAUUCAAUAUUUCCCGUAUCUGCAUUUUUUAAUAUGAUAUAAUCUUUGAAUUCUUAUGAUAAUAAUGAGUUAGAUAUAUAGAACAUGUCUCAAGUAGAAUCAUCUCAAACCACUCUCUAGUUUUCAGACCAUUAGAGGGGUUUAGGUUAUUACAUAGGUAAUAUUUAGCUACCGUAUUUAGGUCUUCUGAAGCAUGUAUGUUUUCAAUAAUAGCAUUGACAAAAAAGGCAAUAUUUUCAUAUGGGGAUUUGUCUGAGGUUGUAGGCUUCCUAAUGGUUGGAGAUUGUGUAUAAAUAACGUAGUUUGAGGAGAUAAUGGUGCUUGGCUAGAAUGUUGUGGAUAGUUUAAUGGACUAUUUGGGAUACUGGGUGAAUAUGGAGUCAGGCUUCUGUUUGAAGAUUGUAUUGGGACAAUAUCUAAUGAUGAUGUUUCAGUUUGGGCCUUUCUUUUGGAUUGUAUGGUAUUGGUAUUCAUGAUUUGAUUAUCAAUCGCUCAAUUUUUACUGAAUAAUAUUAAUGGUAAAGAUAAUUCAGGUGGAUCAAAGCUAUCAGUGUUGCCCUGUCUGCAAAAAUUCACGGGUGAGAAAAUCAGGAAGGUGGUUAGUAAAACCUUUUAAAUGUUCAAUAGAAAAGUCGAAGGAUGAUAAAAUUGCUUGCGAUCGGGCAAAGAUUUGUUUCGAAACCAAGUUUUGCACAUCUUUCUCAAAAAUAUCUUUGGCAGCUUUGCAAUCAGUACGAAUAAGAAAAUGAGUAUUUAAGAUAUCACUUUGGAAUUUGGUAAUACGAUGUACAAUAGCAAGAAGUUCUUUUUUGACAGUAGAAUAAUUUUGUUGAGUAGAAUUCCAUGCUUUAGAUGUAUAUCUUUCCAAUUGUUCAGUGGUGUUUAUUUUUUGUUUUAAUAUAACCUCAUAAUCCUAAUUCAGAGGCAUCACAUUCAAUUAUGUUAAAAGUAUUAGGUUGAGCUAAUAUUAGGCAAGGUAACUCUUUUGCUUUGAGUUUAAUUGCUUGUACAACUUGAGUAUGUUCAUUUGUCUACUUGGGAGGAUUCUUUUUUAGUCUAUCAUAUAGGGGUUUAGCAUCUAAUACUAGAUUUUCAUAGAAAUCAACAAUAUAAUUUAAACAACUUAAGAAUCUUUGUAAUUCAGUUUUAUCUAAUAUAAUAUCUGAAAAUUUAUCAGCAAAUUGAAUAGAUCUUUCUAUUGGGAUAAUUGUUCCAUGAUAAAUAUGAUGUCUUAAGAAUCUAAUCUUAGUUUGACAUAUAUUAAUUUUUUUAGCAGAGACUACUUGUCCUACAUGUUUAACACAGAAUAAUUAUACCAAUUUAUGUAUGCAAUCCAUAGGAAAACAAACUAUGAGAAUAUAAAAUAUGAUCAGAUCAAACCCAAUUUUAGAACCUAAGAAAACUUUAUUAUUUAAACCUCCGAUUGACUUAAGUAAAUUUCGUAUGAUUGAAAACCAUAAAAUUUUAAUGGAUCAACUAAUAUCAAGACUAGCUGAUUUAGAUAUAAAAGAUAUAAAAGGAAAAACUAAAAUACCAAAAUCCUUUACUUUAGCCCUUCAAGAAGAAAUACCAGUAAUAGAUGAUACUAUUGAACACCAGACAUUAGCUUUUACAUAAUCAAAUAAUCCACAUAUUCAAAUAAUAGCAUAUGGUAAAGGUUGGAAACCUGCUACGGCGAGACCUUACCAUCAUAGACCCAUACCAGUUGAUAUUCAAUUUGAAGAAGAUUUAAUAUCACAUACAACUUCCUAUUCUGGAAGAUCAAUAGUUAAUUGGAACAUUGACGGCAUGGCUGAAACCCAAAUAUUAGAUACUAUGAAACAUUUGACAAUGUAUGCUUCAGCCUAAAAAAUAGUUGGCAACCAAGACCAAGAAGUGGUCAAAGUUAUAGUCUGUGGAUUUACUGGCUGGUUAAGAGGUUGGUGGAAUUUUCACUUCCCUGAAACAUUAAAAAAUCAAAUAUUAAUCAAUACUCGUCAAUGGACUGAUAAAAAUGAACAAAAUCAAGAUAUCCUCUAUUCUGAAAGUGAUGCUGUUAAUACUCUCAUUUAUACUAUAACACUUCACUUUGUGGGGAGUACUGCAUUAAUGGAAGCUCAAUCUGAGGAUUUACUUUCAUAUUUAAGAUGUCCAAUUUUAUCACAAUAUAAAUGGUGUAAGGAUGUUUCUUUUUCUAGACUCUUAACCCGAGAAGAUAGUCAUCUUGAUCACUGGAAAAAAAAUUUAUUUCAAGUCUACCAUAUUUAUUUGCCAAAAAAGUUAAAAUCAGAUUAAAGAAUAAUCGUGGUGGAACUAUACAAUAUUCUAAUUAUACUUUAGGAGAAUUAUCAGCAGAAAUAUGUGUUGAAGGAUUAGCCCUUUGCACAGAUAUGAAAUUAAAGAAACAGUUAGAUAAAUAGAAUAUGACAAGUAAAAAAGAUUUAGAUAUUUUGUCAACAAUUUGGUUAUAGCAUAGACCAAAGUAUGGACAAAACUCAUAAACAUAAACAUAAAAAAUAGAGACCUGAUAAGAAAGAAAGAAAAUUAUAUAAAAGAAAGACAAGAGAAAAAUAUAUAAAAAAAUUCUUGCCCAAAGAUCAUUAUAGAAAAGGCAAAAAGAAGAUACCCAUUUGUUAUAAAUGCGGAAGAGUAGGUCAUUAUAAAAAUACAUGUAAGGCUAGAAAAAAAUUUAAAUGCAAUCAUAUUAGAUGAAAACAUAAGAAAUCAAAUAUAUGAUAUUAUCCAAUUAGAUAAAGAAGAAUCUAC
rnacentral:lncRNA from 1 species